GGCUGGCCUGAAGGUAGUAGUGAAUUAGCUCAACUGAUUGUUCACAGUCAGUUACAGAUCAAACUUCUACUCUUUCCCCUCUUCUCACUACUGCACUUGACUACUCUUAA
ensembl:misc_RNA Y_RNA Y RNA